AAAAAUGAAGCUAAAUCUUAGCAAUUAAUUUCGACUUAAUUUAUUAAUAAUUUAAAUUUAUUCAUUUUUA
rnacentral:tRNA from 2 species